CGCAUCUGUGCAUGCAGCAUAUCAAUAAGCGGAGGAAAAGAAACUAACAAGGAUUCCCCUAGUAACGGCGAGUGAAGCGGGAAGAGCUCAAAUUUGAAAUCUUAAAGGGUUUCCCUUUACGAAUUGUAGUUUAAAGAAGUGUUUUCUGUUGAGGUUUUGGUAAAAGUUCUUUGGAGUAGGACAUCAUAGAGGGUGAGAAUCCCGUAUUUGACCUUUACUUUCAACUUUGUGAUACACUUUCAAAGAGUCGGAUUGUUUGGGAAUGCAGUCCAAAAUGGGUGGUAAAUUUCAUCUAAAGCUAAAUAUUGGCGAGAGACCGAUAGCGAACAAGUACCGUGAGGGAAAGAUGAAAAGAACUUUGAAAAGAGAGUUAAACAGUACGUGAAAUUGUCAAAAGGGAAGCGUUUGACACCAGUGUUGUUUUUCUGAAAAUCAAUUAAAGAACUGUUUAUGCUAAGCUGUUUAGACUUUAUCAGCUAACUGUUUAGUUUUGAGCUUUUCUUUAAUGCACUUUUCAGUUAACAAGUCAACAUCAAUUUCUUUUGCUGUAAAAAAGCUUGAGGAAGGUGGCUUGAGAUUCGUCUUAAGUGUUUAUAGCCUCUUGCCUAUGCAGUCGGAGAGAUUGAGGUCUGCAGCGUAGAUCCUUCGGGGCUAAAUGCAUUUGUGCUAAGUUAUAGCAUUUUAUAGACAACUUGUUGACUAUGAUUUGUCUUGUAGCUUACUCGCUUAUGUUAUUUUACCUACGCUUAGGAUGUUGAGCGCAUGUCUCUCUCU
rnacentral:rRNA from 1 species